CCUUCGAUAGCUCAGCUGGUAGAGCGGAGGACUGUAGAGGAACUGCUUCUAAAGGAAUCCUUAGGUCGCUGGUUCGAUUCCGGCUCGAAGGA
rnacentral:tRNA from 1 species